CAUAGGUUACAUGAAGACAUACCAAGUCGUUGAGGGCUUCAAUAACUGGCUACCUAACUUAAGCGUGGACUGCGAAGAUGUUGACGAUGUCUAAGUAACUUCCGAUAUCAGGGACGCUAUAUGCUACGGGUCUCGGACAACGUACCUCUCACUAAAAGCUAUAAACUACUCAUAGAAUGACACAAACGACGUUGGACAACUACAUACCCAGUUCGGCUUUAAAAGUAAGCGGCCUUUAAAUCCCCAAUACUGGGUAAAAUUAAUCAAUGUAUGCCUAACUGGCUCAAUAUCAC